GAUGAACGCUGGCAGCGUGCCUAAUACAUGCAAGUCGAGCGAACAGAUGAGGAGCUUGCUCCUCUGACGUUAGCGGCGGACGGGUGAGUAACACGUGGAUAACCUACCUAUAAGACUGGGAUAACUUCGGGAAACCGGAGCUAAUACCGGAUAAUAUAUUGAACCGCAUGGUUCAAUAGUGAAAGACGGUUUUGCUGUCACUUAUAGAUGGAUCCGCGCCGCAUUAGCUAGUUGGUAAGGUAACGGCUCACCAAGGCAACGAUGCGUAGCCGACCUGAGAGGGUGAUCGGCCACACUGGAACUGAGACACGGUCCAGACUCCUACGGGAGGCAGCAGUAGGGAAUCUUCCGCAAUGGGCGAAAGCCUGACGGAGCAACGCCGCGUGAGUGAUGAAGGUCUUCGGAUCGUAAAACUCUGUUAUUAGGGAAGAACAAAUGUGUAAGUAACUAUGCACGUCUUGACGGUACCUAAUCAGAAAGCCACGGCUAACUACGUG
rnacentral:rRNA from 1 species